GUUUUCAGGGAGGGAAAGAAAGAGGGUGUGUGUAUAAGAGGAGGAGGAGCUUCAUCACUUUCUUAUCACAAAGGAAGAAGAAACAAGAAAGAAAAACGCCCUACUUGUGUUUCUCUAUAUCUAUCUUAUCAUGUUUGCAACUGCAAAAGAAUUCCCUUGCUGGGAAAAGAUAAAGAUGAUUUUCCCUUACCUUUGUUUUCUUUUCUUUUGGAAACAGUGCUUUGCCAGAUUUGUAUGUGUGGUUAUGAGAUCUCCAAUCGCUUUCCUUUCUCUGACUAUAAUGAAGACAGUGACACUUCCCAUCCUUUUCUCUCUCCCUCUGCUACUUCUUUCACACACCUUCACUUCUCUUCUCUUCUCUUCACUGCUUUCUGCUUCUGACCCUUUAAAUCUCUCUUCCUCUUUUCUCUUUUAUCACUUUUCCACUCUUUUAUUUAGCUUUUUAAUUUACUUCUACAACUCAUUGCCUCUUCUAAUUCUGUUUUCUUCAUCCCUAUUCCUUCCCAUUUUUUAGCAGUGCUUCUCAUCUCCACCUUAAGUUCAAGCUUCAGAUUGUAGAACUUUAUGAAUGGUAAUGUGUAAGUGCAAGAUGCAGUGUAGUUGGUUUAUUUGUUUCUAUCUGCAUGUUAUCUGCAUUAUAUCACACAACUUUACCUUUUAAUUUUUCUGCUUAUGAAUAUAACACUGCAUUCGUGUUCAAGUAGAGAAAAGAAGCUCUGGUUUUUGCUUAAUUGGUCACAUUCGUAAUAUGUAUGCGUUGGUGCUUCACCUGUGCAUGGAUCAGCUGGAAACAAGGGUACACACUAUUCUAUUAUUUGGGGAGAAAUUGAUCCUGAAUUUUUUUGAAAAUGUGUUAUGUCCAGAUUUUCUUGUCUGUUCCUUUAACACUUAGGGUUAGGGUUCCUUGGUGGAGUACAUCUUUCAAUAUUUUGAAAGUCAUUUAAUUGAAGUUUUAAAAUUGAUGCUUAUUCAGAUAAAAUACAGUACUUUCUCUGUCAUUUGAUGGUGCUGUUACUUUGUAAUUCCUAAUUUAUAAACAUAUAUUCAAAUGGGAAGGAUGAGAGUUCUAUGCAGAAUAUAAUUCGUUCUCUUGUGAAAUGAUCUGAUUUUACCUUCAACAAGUAAGGUUUACAGAAAUACACAAGCCAAAACAAUUUAUGAAAUACAUCUGAAAUAUCUCAUUAUUACAUAUUACUUGGAGGCUAUGAUUAAAGAUUGCAUGUAGUUUCUACUGACUAAAAAACUUUAUUUGAUUAAACUGAUUAGAUUACUUUUGAAAUUAUCAGUGAGUUCACUUAUAAAGAUUUUGUUGAUACUAAUAGUUCUGUUUCAUAGUCUAAUUAUAUUUUGUAAUUAUUAUUUUUGUUGUUGUGUCAGUGACAAGUGUGAUUAAUUUCACUUAUUUAGUAAAGAUCUAACUUUUUAUCCAUGGGGUUUUGAAGUCUGAAUAUAUUCUACAAAGUUGUGGAUGAAAAUUAAGUCAUCAUCCAUGGCUGUGUUUUGAUUUUGUGUAUACUAAAAUAUUUUAACAGUAUUGAUAAGAUUUAUGUUGUUAGAUAGACUGUGUACAUAUGCUAUUAAAGUUGCUAUUAGAUAAAUGUUUAAGAUGGACCUAUUAUUAGAAAUGGUUGAAGAGAGCUUCCUUCAGUCCACUCAUGGAUGGGUGAGGGGUUUGAAUUAGCUGCUGACUCAUUCAUUCAAACACAAUAGAUCUGACAUCAUGGUAUGCUAUUGUGAAUGUUUGAAUGAUGCAGGAGGUAAUUUCUUCCUUUUCUUGUCUGUGCUUGGACUGAAGGGAGCUCCCUCUAACUGUUUAUAAGUUUAUAAUGAUAUCAUGGGGAUAGUUUCUCUUCUUUCUCCUUAUAAUCUUAAAUAUAUAUGAAUAUAUAUUUUCACCUGACAUAAUCUUGCUUCGGAAGAUGUUUUUAGUCUCAUUGUAAACCGUAAUCGAAUUUCUCAUUGUACAAAUAAUCAUUUAAUUAAUUUGUUUUUGUUAGUAAUUUAUUUUCUAACAAAUUUUUGGCAGGGCUGCAACCUUGGUAUUUUGUUUUUUGUUUUACUGGUUAUUGUUGCAUGCAUUUUACUAAUCUAAUCCUUACACUUCAUUUUGUGUUGGAAAUUUUAUCUAUGUUUCUUUAGUUUAACACAUUACUUAUGGGAUAUUUUUUAUAUGUUAGUUAAAUAGCUGCCUGCCUACAAAGUGAAUUUUUACUUGUGAAAUUGACAUCUUUUACGUUUAUUUUUCGUCUUAUAUAUGCAAUAUAAUUAAACAAAGCUCUUGACUUAAACUCUUGACUUAAAUUCAACUACUUACUAGUUUUAACUUACUUUUAUGAAUUUUGUUUUGCUGAGCAUCUUUAAUUUUCAUUCAUUUAAUUAUUUAUUUAUAUAUUUUUUCUUUUACUUCUACUAAACAGAACACGGGAAAACACCUAAGGGAUGGAUUUUUUAUGGGGUAGUUGGACAAUUGUUAAUCGAAAAAACAAUUUAUAUAUUUUUGACAUAUUGAGAGUGAGUAGAAAAACUUAACAUCAGUUCAUUGGUUUUUGUAAGUAUUUUAUAAAUUACGUCAAAGGUGGAGAAAAUGGUAGACUGUAUACCAUUAAAUUAUAUUAUAGAUUAUAGUUAAUUUGUUUUUAUCAAGGGAAAAUACUCAUUCGAUGUAUUUACAGAGAAAGAGUUUUACUUGUAAAACACACUAAUAUUUUUACUAGAAAUUGAAAAAGUGAGAAUAGGAGGUGCAUUAUCAUUCAUUAUACAUCUCUCCUUUGAACAUUCAUUUUGGCUGGGUCACUUGGUUAGUUUGCAGGCUGUGAACUCUCAAAUUUAUCUUAGAAACAUGCCACCAUUAAUUGCAGUGACUCUCACUUUAUUCCCAAAUGACUAAACAAAUGAAAACAUUGCAUUGGUCACACGAAACAGAUUUGCCUUUUCAUGCAUUUAUCUCAUAGGAGGAGGCUCUUGAAGGCAAACAAUGUGUCAUUGUCGUGAUGGCAAGUUAAUGGUGAUGAUUCUGCUUACAGGGGACUACAUAUUUAUGUGUCAUUUAUCAGUUUUGCAGUGCCUGAAAUUAAUUAAAUAUGAUUAAAUAUGAGCCGUGCAAUCGGCGCCACAGACCCUGCCUUUUGUGUAUCGUUACUGUUCACUAGGCUGGGUCUAGCACUCUAGCUACUGAUUGGAACUUGGAGCUAGGACCUUCUAGUUUGUUUGACAUUCGGAAGAUUUUUUUUUUUUAAUUUUCUCUUAAAAUAUCGUGCACUGUUGAUACACUUGUUACUUUCAAUUUAUUUUUCUUUAAAGUGUAUAAAAUAUAGGCCAGUGGAAAUAUUUCUAUCUAAUAGUAUUACACUAUUCUGAUGUUUCAUGUAUGUAUAAAGUAUGGGCCAGUGGAAACAUUGACAGAAGUUUUAACCAUGUUUCAUGUUUGUUUACAUUACUUAUAAUGUGUUUUUGAGGAUAAUGUCACAGUACAGUAUCAUCUUAAACCCCA